rnacentral:rRNA from 1 species
GCGAACGCUGGCGGCAGGCCUAAUACAUGCAAGUCGAACGGCUUCUUCGGAAGCAGUGGCGGACGGGUGAGUAACGCGUGGGAACGUGCCCUUUGGUACGGAACAACUGAGGGAAACUUCAGCUAAUACCGUAUGUGCCCUUCGGGGGAAAGAUUUAUCGCCAUUGGAGCGGCCCGCGUUAGAUUAGCUAGUUGGUGGGGUAAAGGCCUACCAAGGCAACGAUCUAUAGCUGGUCUGAGAGGAUGAUCAGCCACACUGGGACUGAGACACGGCCCAGACUCCUACGGGAGGCAGCAGUAGGGAAUCUUGCGCAAUGGGCGAAAGCCUGACGCAGCCAUGCCGCGUGAAUGAUGAAGGUCUUAGGAUUGUAAAAUUCUUUCACCGGGGACGAUAAUGACGGUACCCGGAGAAGAAGCUCCGGCUAACUUCGUGCCAGCAGCCGCGGUAAAAC